rnacentral:tRNA from 1 species
GCCAUCGUGGUGUAGUGGUCAGCACACUCGGCGCGUAUUCGAGAGGUCAGUGGUUCGAGUCCCGGCGAGGACA